UACGGGGGGAGCAAGCGUUGUUCGGAUUUACUGGGCGUAAAGGGCGCGUAGGCGGUCAGCACAAGUCAGUUGUGAAAUCUCCGGGCUUAACUCGGAAAGGUCAACUGAUACUGUGCGACUAGAGUGCAGAAGGGGCAACUGGAAUUCUCGGUGUAGCGGAUGAAAUGCGUAGAUAUCGAGAGGAACACCUGCGGCGAAGGCGGGUGCUGGGCUGACACUGACGCUGAUGCGCGAAAGCC
rnacentral:rRNA from 1 species